GACACAAGUGAUGUUGUUUUGGAUUUUAUGCUUCUACUACCAUUGUGUUUAUAACAAUUUAAUAGUGAAUGUGUAAUACAACACAUGGUUAGCUGGCUUGAACGACCUACAUAUUAUAUUCUCUACGUAGCAGAUUUUGUGAUGGUUCUGAAGAUUCAUAAUUCAUACAAUGUGAUACUUGAUUCCAUAUUGCAGCAGCACUGCUUCAAAGUAAGACUAUCAUAUUUCAUAGAACUAGCUAUAAAGGUAUAAAGGUAUUUUCAAAAUGGGAAGAAAGAAAAUGACAAAGUAUCGAUUUCGCAAACACAUAAGUUAUGACGAUAUACGUGAAGCUAUAAAGAAGCUGAAUAUUCAGACAUUCACAAAAUCGUGGCGGGAUGAACAGUCAGAAUAUGGGUUGAUAUGCAAUACAAUUGGCCGAAAAAACAGCACAGCAAACAGGUUACGGAUACGAGCCCUGAUUAGAAACGAACCAAAAGCUGAACUUGAAAAGCCGGAGUGGCACAAUAUUAAAUUGAAGACUGAUGCAUUUGCAGAGAAUGAACACAUCGAAAAUGAUAACCGUAAAAACACUAAACAAGUUCUGGUAAUUGAUGAACUGUCAGGUAAAUCAAGUGCUGUAUAGAAUUAUUUGAACUUUUAUGACUGAUCAUGAUAUUUUGUACUGACUUCUUUUUUAUCAGAGAAAGAAAAGUUGGAUUUCAAAUUGUUGAUUUAUUAAUAGAAAUCUGUGAGACCUAUAAAC